GUCCAGAUGUGGCAACUAGACUUGAAGAGUGGUACAGAUCUGACUGAAGACAAAAGUAUAAAUUCAAGAUUACUUCCAUUUCUGCAUAGACAAGUUAUAUCACAUACUAACAAAAAAAAGAAUUCAACAAAAUGAGGAGAGAAACUAUCAUGGCACCAUCCUCAAGCAUGAACAAUUUCUAAGAGUCUGGAGAAAAGCAGGAGGGAAGGCAAACCACAAAGAAGAAACCUCAAAAUAGAAAAUGCCAUGAUCAUAUCAGAUUCCUUAUGGAUGACUUUCGCCUUUCCACCUGGAUAGCCCAGAUCAGCUUCAA
rnacentral:lncRNA from 1 species